CUCUGCUGUCCAGCUAAAUCUCUCCAUCGGCCAAAUACACAGAGGAGAGGACAGACAACAGAGCGAGACCAUAAAAUAUUCAUUUAUUUAUCUUUUUAACAAAUCUACAUGAUUCAUGUAGGUCACAUUUUCAUGCUGAUUAAGUAUUGUAACCAUUUAGCCAUUACUUGUUGCUAUUUCAACAGUUUAUCCAAUACUAGAUAGCAAACUGCUUCAACUUUCCUACUUGCUUAUUAAUUGUUCUCACAGACUUUCAGUCACAACAUGAAUCAAUGGUUGGGAAUCAGUGAUUUAAUCAGGAACAGUGCAUUAUAUUUUAUAAUUGCAUCAUAAAUUCUGUUUGCAAUCUCAAUCUUUGUCUGAAGAAUAAAUACUAAAGCUGUCAAAUAAAUGUGGUAGAGUAAAAAGGACGAUAUUUGAAAUGUAGUGGAGUAGAAGUAUAAAGUAGAAUGAAAUUGAAAUACUCAAAGUACCUCAAAUUUGUAUUCAAGCUGCAACAUUUGAGUAGAUAUAGUUACGUAUAUUCCACCACUACAUGCAUAUGUGUGUGUGUGUGUGUGUGUGUGUGUGUGUGUGUGUGUGCGUGUGUGUGUGUGUGUGUGUGUGUUUUUACUGCUGAUGGCACAGUGGAGGAUUUAUUUGAACAGAUGUGAACUCUCAGUGCCAGGGUGACCUCAGGUCCUACUUGGCUACACUGCAGCUGAUCUCUCCACCCUAGAAAAAUAACAUUCAGUUUAACAGAGUGACCUGGGGAAGAAAAAGCUCGCAAACACACUGGUUAAUAAGUCUUGGAAUAAGGCUACAUUUCCUCUCAGAGAGAAGUUGAAUCUCAUUGUAACCUUAUCAGUACAUGCCUUGCCGCAAUGUGGAGCACAUGUGUCAGGUUAUGUCCUUGUCUUUGUGAAAUAUCUCAGUUACAGUAACCAGGCUGUACAGUAAAACCAGAAGUUAUAUUCCUUUCAAAGUCAGAUAUGUGAGAAUGGAUUUAUACUCUCAUUGACUGAAAUGGAGGGUUUUAUACCAAAUGCACUGCACAUUAAGAGCACCGAGCAUGAGUUAGGGGAGUGCAGAGGCUGCCGACAAGAGCCAUAAAGGAGGUGAAUUUAUGUGCCGGAGUGAUACGGACAGGAGGGUCAGAGGCAGAGUGAAGUGUAGAGGGGUCGACAAGGAUGAAGAGACAGCAAUGUUUGGAGAGAGGACAGGAGAGAGUGAUGCUAAUUUAUACCUCGCUAAUUGGAAACAGCAGAGCCCUGCACCUGAACCGCAUUCUCGGCCCUGUGGCCAGCGCCGGGCCCAGGGCAACGUGGGAGGGUGAUGAGGGCCGGGGGAUGGAGAGAUGGGAAGGAGGUUAGGGUCAGUGUCAAUGGCAGCCUUGUUGUUUCUGUCCCUGCAGACAGGACAGAGGUUGGUGUGUGUGCAUGUAUAAAUGCAAGGUCUGGAUAUGCGUGUCUGAGCAGAAUUAGUGUGUAUGUUAGAGAUUUUCUUGGGGUCAUGUUGUUGUGACAGUCUCACACACACACACACACACACACACACACCAGGCCGGAGCCAGACUGAGGACCACCCUGCCUCGACAGAGAGAGAGAGAAAAGGGGGAAAAAAUCAGCUUAAUGUGGCAUGGUUUCAAUCUGACACGAUCUAACAUACAACAUGGCUGGACUUCAGCAGUCUUAGCUUCCUAGUUAAAUAAAUAUGACAGCCUCCUCAGAUAAUUACAGUGAUGUGACCAUGCUGAGUCAUAGCAUCCGUUAAUUAUUAGAUGAGCUGUGUGAAUAUGAUUCAUUUUUCAAAUCCCGGCCGCUCGUGAGUUUCUGAUGUCUGUAAUAUUUCAGUGAGUGAUGGUGUAUUCAGAUGUUGGCUGUGACUGGGGUCUGGCAUUGAGCUAGAAAAUGAAGUAAUCUUAGAAUUUAGAUUGAAAAAACAUUGACAUUGUUUGACGUGCCUCACAGGACUAUCUGCACGAUCUGUCUGCACUGCUAAAAAUCUUUUAGGCAAGUGGUUCUCAACCGGGCCUACUUUUACCACAGUGGGUACGUGAAAAGAUAGAAGAAAAAUUACGCAAAAGAAAAAAAAAUCCCACAUACUGAAUCAACUUCCAUACCUGAACACUUAAUGAUGUAGCUGUAUGUGUGAAAAGUUAGCAAGCGAGCAGUUGAGGCAGUUUGCUUCAGAUGUUUAAUUAACUUUAAAACAGUCAGCUAAAACAGUUAGCUAACAGUAACAGAUUAGUAAAAGGAAAAACAGUGAGAUCUCCCACUUAAGAACGUGCAUCAUAUUAGUCUGAAUCAAUCAAUCUAUCAAUCUGAAGAACUCUAAUGGAUAAUGAAUGUGUAAAUGAAGUAAACUUGAAAAGCUAAGAGUUAUGGAUUAGCAUUUAAAUGUUUAGCUUAAAAAGAAACUGAUAGAUUCUGAUAACGCUUAAAAGCAGUUGAUAAAUAAUGAAAAUAAUCAAAUAUAAUGCAUAAAUGAUUUCAGCAACCAAAAGAAGGAACUAAUGGAGAAACACUUGAAAUUAUUGGAUGGAUCAACAGUUGAGUAGCAACAGCUAACAAUAAUGGACAAAUGGUGACAAAGCUAAAAGUCAUAGAUAACCAUUUUAAAUAAUCUCAAAAGAAUGAUAAUUCGCUGAAAUGUUUAGCUUAAAUGCAAUAGUAUACACAGCGUGGAAAGUUAAGAAUUCAUAAAUGAUUGCGACAGCUAAAAAUAACUGCUGAUAUGGUACUGGGUGAAUGACGAUAUAGCUCACAUAGCAAAAAGUGACUGGAACGUCAAACUUCUGCUACUCCAUUUGGUAGAUUGCAAACCUGACCAAACCAACAUAAACAUUUACAGUUAAACUGUAUGAAAACUUUAAAUAAUGUUAAAUAACAUCCAUUUUAAAAUCAGUUCAAAUAGACAUAUUUGGAACAUGACCAGUGAUGAUGAAGGGCACUUCAUCUGACAGGGCUGUGGGUAUACGUCACGCUAAAAAAAAUUGGAAACUGAUUUUGGCCCUAUUUUCCUAAUACUGCUGCUGUGUGGCCCAUUGAUAAAGAAAGCCAUCAAGACAGCUCUAAGUAAGGCUGUCAUCAUUCACCCAAAGCCAGCCUUCCCAUAAUAGUCAGAAUACACAGAGUACAAAACAGAUAAAUAGAUGUGUGCCCAAAUGCCAAAUUCCUCUGAAAACAAAGGAGUGGACUCGGACAUAUGGGGAGCAUAUUGGUGGCAGGGUUCUGAUCACACACUCCUCUUUUGAGGAGAUGAGAAUACAACAAAAUUUAGAUGUGGUAGGGGCAGUUGUUUCCCUUUAAAGGCGUGUCAGUUGUCUGCCCUGCUUGAGGAUACUGGAGAGAAAAAACUUCUUUCUACUUCAUCACUCCUUGUGAUUGACAUCUCGAUAGUCUGCACACAUGAAUGAGUGUGUGUAAGCCAUUUGUGAGUCAUAGCACCAAACAUGCACACAAAAUCCUACACACUCUUCUACUGUAGUGGUUUGCACGGAGACAUUUGUCCUAUGAUAUUGCCUUUUUUCCACCUAGUAUCUGUUCUGAGGGCUGAGCUCAGAGUACACAUCAAAGCCACCACAAUCUGUCUGUUUCUCUCACGAUUUGUCUCUCACACACUCCUUCUCUCACUCUGGCCCACGCCUGUGCACAAACCAUGCACAAACCAAAACACAUUUGUGUAAGAGUAUGUUAUGGGAUGGAUUCAACAUAUUCUUUGAUCACUGUUCAUGUGACAUGACAUGACAGCACAUUCACUCCAAAGUAGAGCUCAUUGAAAUCCUUGAAUUUAACACACUUACCAUAUUUAUUUUUCUUUGACAGAUAAUAUUGUGUGAGCCUUAAAAAAUGAUGAGAUGCCUGUACAAAAAUCCCCACUUUUUGACACUACCUUAUCAUUUCCACAUUGAUUCCGCUGGCCUCUCUGGGGCAAAGUAAAGCCACUGCAGCUGCACAUCUUCAUCUUAUUUCUCCUCCAUCCUGCCUGUCAUGUUUACUUGAUGUUCUCCUCUCUCCUCUCUUUUGCAGGAUGCAUAGUUUCAAAGGGACCACAGAACAAAUCAGAGGCCCAUCCCUGUGCACCAUUGGCCUGUCUCUCAUUUCAGUUGAAGAUUGAAGGGCAAGUCUGCCCCUGGGGCGUCAGUGGGGGAUCAGGGGGCCUCAGUAGCACCCGCCGCCCCGGGGCCUCUGUGUUUCUACUGCGUGGGAGCUGGACCGUGACACACACCAAACAUCAGGCCCACCGCAAGUGCCUCUGCCUGGCGAUCUGCUGUCUGGUGCAUGCAGUCGCUGGAAAAGCACUGAAAACUUCGCCUGCAUCCCUUGUUAGCUCAAGGUCGUGUGUGAGAGGAGUGUGUGUUUUGGGUUUGGCAUCCUUUGAAAAGAUAUAACAAUAAAGGGCCCUUGAGCAGGAGUUAUUAUGUGUUUGGCUGAGCGCAGGAGCUUGUGUUGCUGUGAUGGAAGUUGGACGCUUCCCAGUGUUGUUUUGAGGUGCUUUUGGUUUGUUAGUCAUAGCUUACUGUAAAGUGUCUCCUAAGACGCUCCUAUUUCGAGAUUGUUUUGUGCACAGCAACUCUGAAGUGGUGUCACGGGGCAGCUCCUCUGGCUUUUCCUGGCGGAGGAUGUGUGGGGCUUGUGGAUCUGUGAAAACAACAGGGCAAACAGAUGAUCAAUUCCAGGUUGGCGGCACAUACCGUAUCUGUGCGAGACGUGGCUCCAAUCUUCCUACUUGUCUGUCUCCAGCUCUGGUCUCUCUAGGCCUCUAUUAAGCUCUCUCAGCUUUCAUAUGACACGGCGAUACCCAUCAGAAGCUCCAUGACAGCAUAUGGACCUGAGUGACAUUUGAUGUAUGUGGCAGGAGUGAGUGCAGUUCCUCUUUGUGUCUCCCAUUCAUGUGGUGAGGGCAGGAUUAAGACUUGAUCCAAUAGAGCAGAAGUGGAGAAGAACGAGCUCGGGUCAGAUCUGCCUUGAAUUAAGUCAGUGUUGCAGCAGGAAUAAUACAAUCACCUCCCCCAAAAACCCUGUAACAGUACUGAAGGGUAACGUAUGUGUGCAUGUGUGUAUUUGUUUGUGUGUGUGUGUUCAGAGCUUGGCCUGUGCCGAGGCUGCGACCAAACCACAGGCUGGUGUCCUUUACAGAGAAGAGGGGUCUCUGUUGAUGGUUCAAACACAGCCCACGGCCUCAGCUUCAAAAGGCCCCCAAUCAUCGCACCCACUUACAGCCAACGGCGCAUGUCACUUAAUGUGGACCACACUAUUCAUCAAUUAUGUCACUGUCCACAAGAGAACUUCCUCCGUCACAUCUGGACAGCGCUCAGCUCAGUGCGGCCCAGCGUGAGAGGGGGGUGAAAGGUGAUGUUCGUGCUGACCCGUUCACCCAGCACACCUCCACUCCAGCCGUGCCUCUCCUGUCCCCAAAAGCGGUUCGGCUGCUAAUGCAUGUGCAGCUGAUUCGACAACUGUGGAGGCCACAUCUGGAAGACAGAUGGAGUCCCAAAGCUUAUUCUCUGCCUUUGACUCUCGCUCCCUCUCCUCUCCCUCGCAUUCACUGCUUCUCACUCUCUCUUUCUCUCGUCUUCCCCUCCCUCCCUUCUCUUUUUGGGAAACAUGAGAGCUGGGCUAAUUCUCUCUCUCUCUCUCUCUCCCUCCCCCCCCCCUCUCUCCCACCCCGGCUGGACCACCCACAUUCGGAAACGCCUAGCUGUUCCUGAGGCAGAGCCGCCGGCAGUUUAGAGAGACUGGGAGAGCAACAAGAGAGAGAGAGAUGUAAGGAUGGGUUAUGACUGACGGUUUUAGCAGAGUAUCAAUUACAUCAAUGUCAAAGCCAUAACCUGCCAUUGUGUAAGGAGCAGAGACGCCUGCUAUAGUGCUCAGCUGAGUUUAUGCAGCAUGAAUCCUGUGCUGCCGCUUGUUGCAC